UACGUAGGCAGCAAGCGUUGUUCGGAAUUACUGGGCGUAAAGAGUGUGUAGGCGGUGCUCCAAGUCUGGUGUGAAAUCUCCCGGCUUAACUGGGAGGGUGCAUUAGAAACUGGAAUGCUAGAGGAUGGGAGAGGUAAGCGGAAUUCCUGGUGUAGCGGUGAAAUGCGUAGAUAUCUGGAGGAACACCGGUGGCGAAGGCGGCAUCCUGGACCGAUACUGACGCUGAGGAGCGAAAGCCAGGGGAGCAAACGGG
rnacentral:rRNA from 1 species